GUAUAUAUGUGUGUGUGUGUGUGUUUUAUUGCCUGUGCCAUGUAUUCACGUGUUCUCGUGGGCUUUUCCAAUUUAACCAGUGGUUUUGGAGGUAAUGAAGGAAAGAUAAGAAAAACUGAUAAUCACAGCCACGUCCAUCAAAUGGAGAAAAACUCACACACACUCCUCUGUUUGCUCAUAUUUCACAGGUGUUUAGCACAAAAUGCCUGUUAUUACCGCCGACUCAGAGACGCCUCUAAAUUACACCGGGGGCUUCUGGACCGGGCCGGCCAAUCAGAGGCUCUUAUCUUUUCCUGGUUGAUUUCAUGUAUUCCUGGAUUUCCAGGGAGGGAGGAAAUGGUCAGGAUCAAGUCCAGAGGGAGGCCACAGAUGGGCCUGACCUUUUCGACGUGUCAGCCAAAGAUGACGCCAAACACGUGAUGGAUUGAAACCGAGGCAGAAUGUGAGAAACGGGAAGAAAUGGAUACGCAACCAACCAACCGUCCAAGCAAGCAGCGAGCAGGGAAGUCACCCGUUCCUUCUCCUCUUAUGAGACGUUCUAUAGAAAUCUCAUAAAUACCGGGAGGACGCGGCGGCGUCCGGGGCCUAUAGACAUUUUGUACACCAUAUAACACAUAUGGCCACUCAUAAUUCACACAUUUAUAUUCAUAAACUUGAUUUUGUAUUUAAAAUAUGACUCAUAAAGUCUGAUAUAUGGAAAUUGACAGAUCAUAUGUGAUUCCUGAAUUAAAUAUCACAUAGAUCAGAUGUUUUAUGUCCUCCUCUCUCCUCCUCUCCUUGUCUGAGGAGGGAGCCUUGACCAGGCGGCGUGCAGGUAAUUUACAGUGUUAUGGGACGAGUGCAAAACACGCUGUAAAUAAAUAGGACUAUACCGAUUUCAUUUUAGGACAAGGGGAGGCGGGGGGGGGAGGAGGAGGACGCCCUGCGUCUACACCCUGCUGCCUUUUCCUCCCGUGGUGCUGCUCCUGCGGUGGGCGCCUCUGUAUAUCACGCUAAGUAGAAGGGGCCACAAAUGGGGCAGCAAACGACACGGUGCGGUCCAUUUGCAAAUUUCAAUACGGUGUCCGUCUGCGCGGCUUUGGCCUUGGGCGGCGUCACAACCCCCUUCUUAGUUCCCUUCCUGUCUCUCCCCGGCGUCCCUUUGACCUUGCACUCAAUCAGAAACGGCGCUCGUAGCCACGCUGAUGCAUAUUGACUUUAUAAAAAA